CUCGUUACUCCUGCAAGAUGUGCGGAGCAACGUGCACGACUGCUGCCUUGUCUCAAACCAUGAGUCAGGAUGUCCGGGAGCUUUUCAAGGACCCUAAACAACUUCUACAAAGAGCAAUGAUGAUCAGUGAAUUCCAGGUGUCUCAACUAGUCAGGUUAGCGACGUGCCUGAGACAAGAGGUGAGCACGCUGAAGGCGAACCAUAAGAAGGCCACCGAGCUGGGGAUCAAGUACAAGCAGUAAG
rnacentral:lncRNA from 1 species